AACGAACGCUGGCGGCAUGCCUAACACAUGCAAGUCGAACGAGACCUUCGGGUCUAGUGGCGCACGGGUGCGUAACGCGUGGGAACCUGCCCUUAGGUUCGGAAUAACUCCCCGACAGGGGUGCUAAUACCGGAUAAUGUCUUCGGACCAAAGAUUUAUCGCCUUUGGAUGGGCCCGCGUUGGAUUAGCUAGUUGGUAGGGUAAUAGCCUACCAAGGCGACGAUCCAUAGCUGGUCUGAGAGGAUGAUCAGCCACACUGGGACUGGGACACGGCCCAGACUCCUACGGGAGGCAGCAGUGGGGAAUAUUGGACAAUGGGCGAAAGCCUGAUCCAGCAAUGCCGCGUGAGUGAUGAAGGCCUUAGGGUUGUAAAGCUCUUUUACCCGGGAUGAUAAUGACAGUACCGGGAGAAUAAGCUCCGGCUAACUCCGUG
rnacentral:rRNA from 1 species